rnacentral:rRNA from 1 species
AUGCAGUUGGUUCGGACUGAUAAUACAGUGAUUAAUAUUAAUGGCGAGGUGAGACCAUUUUUUUCCUGUAGGGGAGUGAAACAAGGGGACCAUAUCUCCCCUCUUCUCUUCAACCUCGCCGUUGAUGCCUUGACACGCAUCCUAGAAAAAGCUAGGAUGUCCAGUAACCUCUCGAGGGUAGUGGGUCACUUGAUUCCCGGGCGAGGUGUCACCCAUUUACACUAUGGAGAUCACACCAUGAUUAUGGUGGAGGAGUUAGAUCUUGACAUCGUUAAUUUUAAGUUACUUUUUUUUGUUUUGAGGGCAUGUUAG